GAUGAACGCUGGCGGCGUGCCUAAUACAUGCAAGUCGAGCGAACGGACGAGAAGCUUGCUUCUCUGAUGUUAGCGGCGGACGGGUGAGUAACACGUGGAUAACCUACCUAUAAGACUGGGAUAACUUCGGGAAACCGGAGCUAAUACCGGAUAAUAUUUUGAACCGCAUGGUUCAAAAGUGAAAGACGGUCUUGCUGUCACUUAUAGAUGGAUCCGCGCUGCAUUAGCUAGUUGGUAAGGUAACGGCUUACCAAGGCAACGAUGCAUAGCCGACCUGAGAGGGUGAUCGGCCACACUAAAACUGAAACACGGUCCAGACUCCUACGGGAGGCAGCAGUAGGGAAUCUUCCACAAUGGGCAAAAGCCUGACGGAGCAACGCCGCGUGAGUGAUGAAGGUCUUCGGGUCGUAAAACUCUGUUAUUAGAGAAGAACAUAUGUGUAAGUAACUGUGCACAUCUUGACGGUACCUAAUCAGAACGCCGCGGCUAACUAC
rnacentral:rRNA from 1 species